GGUAAAGCUCAGUGGUAGAGUAUUCGACUGCACAUCGAGUCCCCGGUUCAAACCCGGGUUGCCCCU